UGGCUCGGGUGCCCCACUAGGUGACACUGUGUAUCCGUGGUUUGCUGCUCGACUCAAAUGAGCGGUUUCUGCUCUCAGAUUGAAGAGAGAUUAGAACAGGGCUGGCAAAAGGAAUAAGGACAUGCAAGGAUUUUUCACUUCCAUUUCUGGCUCCAGGUGGCUCUCGAGGGCAGCUGAGGACAACUGAGGGUGCCAAAAGAGACAUUACACUAACCAUGGAUGGCUUGCUGCCCUGUCUUGCUGCCUUGGAGGACUCUUACCAGUUAAAAUUCGUCUCUGCUUGUGGAAACCGCGAGGGCUCAGCAGUGUGCGAAGCAUCAACAUUACGGCCGUGACGUGGCGGGAUUGCUGGGGAGUCCUGCACAGGGCCAGGAGCCGGACUUUGAUGACCCUCGUGGCUCCCUUCCAACUCAGUAUAUUUCUGUGCCCCUGUGGUUCUGUCACUUCUUGGCUCUGUGU